rnacentral:rRNA from 1 species
UACGGGAGGCAGCAGUGGGGAAUAUUGCACAAUGGGCGCAAGCCUGAUGCAGCCAUGCCGCGUGUAUGAAAAAGGCCUUCGGGUUGUAAAGUACUUUCAGUCGUGAGGAAGGUGUUAAGGUUAAUAACCUUAGCAAUUGACGUUAGCGACAGAAGAAGCACCGGCUAACUCCGUGCCAGCAGCCGCGGUAAUACGGAGGGUGCGAGCGUUAAUCGGAAUUACUGGGCGUAAAGGGCACGCAGGCGGUUAAUUAAGUUGGAUGUGAAAUCCCCGGGCUUAACCUGGGAAUGGCAUUCAAGACUGGUUAGCUAGAGUCUUGUAGAGGGGGUAGAAUUCCAUGUGUAGCGGUGAAAUGCGUAGAGAUGUGGAGGAAUACCGGUGGCGAAGGCGGCCCCUGGACAAAGGCUGACGCUCAUGUGCGAAAGCGUGGGGAGCAAACGAGGGAUUAGAUACC